GCAGGAGCUGCGCGUGCGGAGGAGCUAUGGAGCUGACCCCGGGAGCCAGGAGCAUGAGGACCUGGAGUCUGUGUCAGAUUUGUACCUCCGGGUCGGAUUCUCGUCCUUGUGAAAUAGUCAAACAGCCUCGCCAUGCACCAGAAGAAUAUAAACCAAAGCAGGGGGAGAUUGAUCUUGGUACUACCUACAAAUGGCAUCUUAAUUCUUGUAAAGUGCAGCGUGUGGCAGUAGCUCGGCCUUUGGAGAGACAAGUUAAAAAAGGGAAGUUGGAUACUGUCCCGACCUAUAAAGAUUUCAAGGCAUCUGCAUAGUGUACCCUGAGUCAAGUUUUGGUUGGCAGUGUCAAGAUGGCUGCACUGCUCCUCGCUGUGUUCAAGUUAGAAAGAGGCAUUGUGGUGUGACAAGUAAAGGCUCUGUGGCUUGGGAAUCAAAGCACCUGUGUUCAAGUUUCAGUGACACCAGUUUCUACUUGUGCCAUCCUAGGGGUAUGUGUUAGCAGCUCUGAAACUACAUGUAUAAUAAGGUCAAACCAAGAAAAUAUAUUGCAGAUAAUGAAAGCCAGGCUUCUCCCUGUCAGAGAAAGAAGUUGACAAACAAGAAAAAGGUGUGAUUCACAUGAAGUAAAUGACUGGGAUGAGGCAGUGAGAGUGAAUCUCUGUGUGAUCCGCUCUGAAUCCUGUAACCCACACCCCAAAGACAGCCCAGGGCACUGAGCCCAGCAGGGUUGCUCCUGGACUCGGAGAGGCAGCCAAGGGGACCAUACCCAAGGCCACCACAACCUGAAUGCAGAUAAGUCACCUGCCUUUGUAAGGAUGCCGCUGAAUAAUCAAAGUACAUUUAUUUCUGAAUUCCUAGUCAGGAUCAUAAAAGAGAAACACUAACUCUUAGGUGAUAGAAACAGUAGUAAAAUACAGUACACAGGAAAGUCAUUUGAAUGAUAACGAGACAAAAGGUACAACAGCAAAUGAAAAAUAGCAACUUUAAAUACAAAGUGAAGCAGUUUAAUAAGAGAUGUUGUUAAUAAGAAAAAUACAUUUCCCCUGUCUUUAUUACAUACUGUACAAAAUAAAAUAUUGCACCUUUGAGUCAUAUAAUAAAUAUAUACAAAGAGUAUUGUACAAAUGAUCUCUCUUUUAAUUUAAAAAGCCUUCAACAAUCAAGUGUGAUUGCGAUGAACAACUCACAGGCUGGUGUGACCUCGUCACGUUCCCGCCCCCAUUCCCAACCACCAAACCCUCCACGUACAGUAGCGUCCAUCCCAGUGUCAGUGAGGCUGCAGUUAACGAACAAGAGACCUGGUGCUCAGGAUAUGGCAGAGAGACUCAGCAAGCUUGUCCACAGACAAAUCCAAAGCCAGAACGCACUGCUCACUUAUGAGUGACUGCGGACUAGGGCCAGCACACCUGCUUCGGGUAACUUUGCUGCCGACAGGCUAUAGGCAACAUGUGCACAGGCAGCUGGGACCCCGAAUAAAGAAGUAUGACCACUUAUUUGGGGUUGUGUGCCAUCUAAAGCCAUAACUGGUAGAAUGUUAAGUUCUCUGAGAGCAAGGACAAGAUGCCAUUCUCCCAGGAUGCCUGGAUCAGUCAGGGUCACAAGCCUGUCCAGAGCGAUUGUCUCCUUUUCACAGACUAAACAACACUAAGUUGCAUUCACAUCAAAGCAGCUAAUCUCCUGAUGUCCCAAGAUACCACAUCCGUUCAGAACAGCCCUGUGGGCGAGACCCUGACAAGGUUGGCUCCAUGCGGUCCGGUUUGCACAAGGCUUCGGGGUGGUCACAGUACCUGAGAGGGGUACGUACUAUCACAGGAAGGCCCCAGGCAGUGCCGCCAGGAAGAGGGUUUCUUCCCCGGUUCGCGGCAUCUCUCAGCCACCGUCUUGCAGCUCCUCGUGUGGACACAGUCCACCUUCCGAGACUGGAAGCUCUGACCACAGGCUGACGUACAGGGUCUCCAAGGGCCUGCGCGCCAACAUGCGUCACAAGCCCCCGACGAGCAGUUCCUCCAAAAGGUGGGUCUGAAAUGAGAAAAACAAACAAAAAAGUGGACAACAGGAGAAAGUGGGGUGUCACUUCUUGCUGGGAUCAAGCCUUUUACUGUACUGUACUUUCCGUAUAGCAAAGGCUUGACAAUUCGGACCUUAUUCAACAGGAAACUCAUCUGCAUUGCUCCUGGCUGACUAAGCAAAGUGGUGGAGGAAUCACAACCUCAGUAGAGGCGAGCAAACCACGUGUUUCCAUGAGCCUCCGGCACCACAUCAAGGCACGCACCUCAAAAGACACAGUCUCCUGAUGAGCUGGAGCAGAUCGAUUUAGGCAAGGAAGAGAAGAAUGACACAUUUGUUAACAAACUUGGGUAUGAACCUCAGGGGGGCGAGAAGUUGAGUUGCUUUGGACAAGAGGGCAGAGACUGAGUACUCUUCAGCCAUCCCCUAUGCAGAGAUCAGCUUUUCUACUGAGAACAGUUGAAGAAAUAGUCCAAGAAUACUCAAAGAAAACGUUUGAUAAGAUGCCAAAUUGUUCUAUAAGACAGGGCCGGUGGGAAGUCAGAAGAAACUAUGUAGCUUCCUAAACAUGAAAGAUGAGAGAGGCACAAGGAGCUAGAGACCAAGGCAGAUGCUGAAACUCAGGAGGCUGGUCAUUGAGGAUGCAGCGAAAGAGUGCAAGGGCACCUAAGACACUACAAAGACUAAGGCUGUGCUUCUCCAGUUGGGGGACCUGUGCCCUUACAGGCAAUCAGACGGGAAGUUACAGAAUAAUGACAGCAUAUCUUCUUGGAAUUAUCAAAUUUUCUCCAUUUCUACAAGAAAACCUCAUUUCAUUGUGCUUUUGUUUUACUGUGCUUCACAGAUGUCGCAUUUUUUACAAACUGAAGGUUUGUGUCAACCCUGCAUCAAGCAAGUU